rnacentral:rRNA from 1 species
UGGGGAAUUUUGGACAAUGGGCGCAAGCCUGAUCCAGCCAUGCCGCGUGCGGGAAGAAGGCCUUCGGGUUGUAAACCGCUUUUGUCAGGGAAGAAAUCUUCUGAGUUAAUACCUCGGGAGGAUGACGGUACCUGAAGAAUAAGCACCGGCUAACUACGUGCCAGCAGCCGCGGUAAUACGUAGGGUGCAAGCGUUAAUCGGAAUUACUGGGCGUAAAGCGUGCGCAGGCGGUUUUGUAAGACAGAGGUGAAAUCCCCGGGCUCAACCUGGGAACUGCCUUUGUGACUGCAAGGCUUGAGUGCGGCAGAGGGGGGAUGGAAUUCCGCGUGUAGCAGUGAAAUGCGUAGAUGUGCGGAGGAAACACCGAUGGCGAAGGCAAUCCCCUGGGCCUGCACUGACGCUCAUGCACGAAAGCGUGGGGAGCAAACAGGAUUAGAUACCCUGGUAGUCCACGCCCUAAAACGAUGUCAACUGGUUGUUGGGAAGGUUCCUUCUCAGUAACGUAGCUAACGCNUGAAGUUGACCGCCUGGGGAGUACGGCCGCAAGGUU